AUUGAACGCUGGCGGCAGGCUUAACACAUGCAAGUCGAGCGGAGAGAGGUAGCUUGCUACUGAUCUUAGCGGCGGACGGGUGAGUAAUGCUAGGAAUCUGCCUAUUAGUGGGGGACAACAUUUCGAAAGGAAUGCUAAUACCGCAUACGUCCUACGGGAGAAAGCAGGGGAUCUUCGGACCUUGCGCUAAUAGAUGAGCCUAAGUCGGAUUAGCUAGUUGGUGGGGUAAAGGCCUACCAAGGCGACGAUCUGUAGCGGGUCUGAGAGGAUGAUCCGCCACACUGGGACUGAGACACGGCCAGACUCCUACGGGAGGCAGCAGUGGGGAAUAUUGGACAAUGGGCGCAAGCCUGAUCCAGCCAUGCCGCGUGUGUGAAGAAGGCCUUAUGGUUGUAAAGCACUUUAAGCGAGGAGGAGGCUACUUUAGAUAAUACCUAGAGAUAGUGGACGUUACUCGCAGAAUAAGCACCGGCUAACUCUGUGCCAGCCGCCGCCGUAACAC
rnacentral:rRNA from 1 species